rnacentral:rRNA from 1 species
AUUGAACGCUGGCGGCAUGCCUAACACAUGCAAGUCGAACGAGUGGCGGACGGGUGAGUAAUGUCUGGGAAACUGCCUGAUGGAGGGGGAUAACUACUGGAAACGGUAGCUAAUACCGCAUACCAUUAGAGGUGCCCAGAUGGGAUUAGCUAGUUGGUGGGGUAACGGCUCACCAAGGCGACGAUCCCUAGCUGGUCUGAGAGGAUGACCAGCCACACUGGAACUGAGAAACGGUCCAGACUCCGACGGGAGGCAGCAGUGGGGAAUAUUGGACAAUGGGCGCAAGCCUGAUGCAGCCAUGCCGCGUGUAUGAAGAAGGCCUUCGGGUUGUAAAGUACUUUCGGCGGAGAAGCGUUACCCACAGAAGAAGCACCGGCUAACUCCGUGCCAGCAGCCGCGGUAAUUC